UACGUAGGGUGCGAGCGUUGUCCGGAAUUAUUGGGCGUAAAGAGCUCGUAGGCGGUGUGUCACGUCGGCCGUGAAAACCUGGGGCUUAACUCUGGGCGUGCGGUCGAUACGGGCAUCACUAGAGUUCGGCAGGGGAGACUGGAAUUCCUGGUGUAGCGGUGAAAUGCGCAGAUAUCAGGAGGAACACCGGUGGCGAAGGCGGCUCUCUGGAACGCAACUGACGCUGAGACGCGAAAGCGUGGGGAGCAAACAGG
rnacentral:rRNA from 1 species